AUGGCCAAUGUAAUGGUGACCACACGGUGUUUUAUAGACACACUAAUAAGAAGAUCACCAUUGUUGCAGUGUGUUGAUGAUAUCAUCAUCACUGGAGAUGAUGAGGAGGAAAUAAAGAGAGUGAAGGGGUGUGUGAGCAAGGAGUUUGAGGUAAAAGACUUAGGAAAUCUAAAGUACUUCCUUGGCAUAGAAGUGGCCCGGACAGAGAAGGGAAUAUCUUUGUGCCAACGAAAAUACACCUUGAAUCUUUUGAGUGACAUGGGCAUGAUGGGAUGUCGUGCAGCCCCUACUCCAAUUGAACAAAAUCAUCAAGUAACAGCACAAUCAGGUGAGCUAGUGAAUAAGGAAGAUUAUCAGAAGCUGGUUGGGAGGUUAUUGUACUUGUGUCAUACUAGGCCUGACAUUACGUAUGCCGUGGGGGUGGUGAGCAGAUACAUGCAUGAACCAAGGAGAGGGCAUCUUGAUAUUGUUCACAGAAUCCUGAGAUACUUGAAGGGGACUCCGGGUAAAGGGUUGUGGUUUGCGAAGAGUGGACAUCUUGAGGUGGAUGGCUAUAGUGACUCUGAUUGGGCUAGCUGUCAAGAUGAUAGACGAUCAACUUCAGGUUACUGUGUGUUUGUGGGAGGAAAUUUGGUGUCAUGGAGAAGCAAGAAACAGAAUGUUGUGUCUAGAUCAACAGCAGAAGCUGAAUAUAGAGCAUUAUCUCAAGGGUUGUGUGAUAUGCUCUGGGUGAAG
rnacentral:rRNA from 1 species